UGCGAGAGUGGCGGAAUUGGUAGACGCGCUGGAUUUAGGUUCCAGUAGGUUAGCCUGUGAGAGUUCGAGUCUCUCCUCUCGCACCAC
rnacentral:tRNA from 2 species